GACGAACGCUGGCGGCGUGCCUAAUACAUGCAAGUCGAGCGGACUAAAGGGAGCUUGCUCCCAGAGGUUAGCGGCGGACGGGUGAGUAACACGUGGGCAACCUGCCCUGUAGACUGGGAUAACAUCGAGAAAUCGGUGCUAAUACCGGAUAAUCAUUGGAGCUUCAUGGUUCUAAUGUAAAAGAUGGCUCCGGCUAUCACUACGGGAUGGGCCCGCGGCGCAUUAGCUAGUUGGUAAGGUAAUGGCUUACCAAGGCGACGAUGCGUAGCCGACCUGAGAGGGUGAUCGGCCACACUGGGACUGAGACACGGCCCAGACUCCUACGGGAGGCAGCAGUAGGGAAUCUUCCGCAAUGGACGAAAGUCUGACGGAGCAACGCCGCGUGAGUGAUGAAGGUUUUCGGAUCGUAAAGCUCUGUUGUUAGGGAAGAACAAGUGCCAUUCAAAUAGGGUGGCACCUUGACGGUACCUAACCAGAAAGCCACGGCUAACUACGUGCCAGCCGCCGCCGUAACAC
rnacentral:rRNA from 1 species